UGGGGAAUUUUGGACAAUGGGCGCAAGCCUGAUCCAGCCAUGCCGCGUGAGAGAUGAAGGCCCUAGGGUUGUAAAGCUCUUCCACCGGUGAAGAUAAUGACGGUAACCGGAGAAGAAGCCCCGGCGAACUUCGUGCCAGCAGCCGCGGUAAUACGAAGGGGGCUAGCGUUGUUCGGAUUUACUGGGCGUAAAGCGCACGUAGGCGGACUAUUAAGUCAGGGGUGAAAUCCCGGGGCUCAACCCCGGAACUGCCUUUGAUACUGGUAGUCUUGAGUUCGAGAGAGGUGGGUGGAAUUCCGAGUGUAGAGGUAAAAUUCGUAGAUAUUCGGAGGAACACCAGUGGCGAAGGCGGCUCACGGGCUCGAUACUGACGCUGAGGUGCGAAAGCGUGGGGAGCAAACAGG
rnacentral:rRNA from 1 species